rnacentral:rRNA from 1 species
AACGAACGCUGGCGGCAGGCUUAACACAUGCAAGUCGAACGCAUCCUUCGGGGUGAGUGGCAGACGGGUGAGUAACGCGUGGGAACGUGCCCUUCAGUUCGGGAUAACCCAGGGAAACUUGGGCUAAUACCGGAUACGUGCGAGAGCAGAAAGAUUUAUCGCUGAAGGAUCGGCCCGCGUCUGAUUAGCGAGUUGGUGGGGUAAUGGCCCACCAAGGCGACGAUCAGUAGCUGGUCUGAGAGGAUGAUCAGCCACAUUGGGACUGAGACACGGCCCAAACUCCUACGGGAGGCAGCGGUGGGGAAUAUUGGACAAUGGGCGCAAGCCUGAUCCAGCCAUGCCGCGUGAGUGGUGAAGGCCUUAGGGUUGUAAAGCUCUUUCGUCCGGGACGAUAAUGACGGUACCGGAAGAAGAAGCCCCGGCUAACUUCGUGCCAGCCGCCGCGGUAAAAC